UGAGUAACACGUGGGCAACCUGCCCUGCAGAUCGGGAUAACUCCGGGAAACCGGUGCUAAUACCGAAUAGUUUGUUUCACCUCCUGGUGAAACACGGAAAGACGGUUUCGGCUGUCACUGCAGGAUGGGCCCGCGGCGCAUUAGCUAGUUGGUGGGGUAAUGGCCCACCAAGGCGACGAUGCGUAGCCGACCUGAGAGGGUGAUCGGCCACACUGGGACUGAGACACGGCCCAGACUCCUACGGGAGGCAGCAGUAGGGAAUCUUCCGCAAUGGACGAAAGUCUGACGGAGCAACGCCGCGUGAGUGACGAAGGUUUUCGGAUCGUAAAACUCUGUUGUGAGGGAAGAACAAGUACCAACUAACUACUGGUACCUUGACGGUACCUCACCAGAAAGCCACGGCUAACUACGUGCCAGCAGCCGCGGUAAUACGUAGGUGGCAAGCGUUGUCCGGAAUUAUUGGGCGUAAAGCGCGCGCAGGCGGUCCCUUAAGUCUGAUGUGAAAGCCCACGGCUCAACCGUGGAGGGUCAUUG
rnacentral:rRNA from 1 species